CCCAUAAGACUUGGGAUAACUCCUUGGAAACCGGGGCUAAUACCGGAUAACAUUUUGAACCGCAGGUUCGAAAUUGAAAGGCGGCUUCGGCUGUCACUUAUGGAUGGACCCGCGUCGCAUUAGCUAGUUGGUGAGGUAACGGCUCACCAAGGCAACGAUGCGUAGCCGACCUGAGAGGGUGAUCGGCCACACUGGGACUGAGACACGGCCCAGACUCCUACGGGAGGCAGCAGUAGGGAAUCUUCCGCAAUGGACGAAAGUCUGACGGAGCAACGCCGCGUGAGUGAUGAAGGCUUUCGGGUCGUAAAACUCUGUUGUUAGGGAAGAACAAGUGCUAGUUGAAUAAGCUGGCACCUUGACGGUACCUAACCAGAAAGCCACGGCUAACUACGUGCCAGCAGCCGCGGUAAUACGUAGGUGGCAAGCGUUAUCCGGAAUUAUUGGGCGUAAAGCGCGCGCAGGUGGUUUCUUAAGUCUGAUGUGAAAG
rnacentral:rRNA from 1 species